UGACAAUUUUCCGUACAAAACUAUAUUUUUUAUCUAUGAAAGUAUAAUCCAAAUUCAAAUAAAACAUAUUUAAUAAUUAAGGUGGUAUUGUUAUAAAGCUUGAAAAAAAAAAUUGGUCUAUUUAAAAGUAAAACAAUAUUUUAAAAUAAUUUUUGUUUGCAAUGCAAAAAUCAAUAUAAAUCUUGUGACGCGCGGUGUUCAACUUUAGUCAGCGCCAAGCGCUUAUCGAGGGAGGACGUAUCGCUCGCUGUUGCGCCGCGCAAACUCGCCGGAGCUCGAAAAAUAUAGCGCAACCUGCGCAACGAACUCGUUUUGAUACUAGUGAGUUUUUAUUUUAUUUAUUAGUUAUAAUGAUCUGAUUGAAAUGUAAUAUACACAAGUAUUAACCCAUGAUAUUCUAAUGCGAAAAUGUUAUAGAUUGGGUUCUCUUUUUUUGAUGUUGGUUAUAUAGAAAUAUGUACGUAAAUGUCAUCGUCGUUAGUUUCGCUGUUGCAUAAUAAUAUUAUUGGAUAUCUUUGAUUCUUGCAGGAUAAUGAAAGCAUAUUUAAUUCAGAUUAUCAGACUCAAUCGGAUACCAGUACAAAUAAUAUGGAAAAUGAAGAUACAAUACAUGGAAGACGAAUUAUAGAUUUUAGUUUUUUUAUAAAUCAAUUACUUAUACCUAAUUGAUAAACAUGGUGAAAAGUUUGGUUGUCGAUUAAAUAAUUUAAAAAUUGUAAACGA
rnacentral:lncRNA from 1 species